rnacentral:rRNA from 1 species
AUUGAACGCUGGCGGAAUGCUUUACACAUGCAAGUCGAACGGCAGCACGGGCUUCGGUCUGGUGGCGAGUGGCGAACGGGUGAGUAAUACAUCGGAACGUGCCCAGUCGCGGGGGAUAACGUAGCGAAAGCUACGCUAAUACCGCAUACGAUCUAAGGAUGAAAGCGGGGGAUCGCAAGACCUCGCGCGAUUGGAGCGGCCGAUGGCAGAUUAGGUAGUUGGUAGGGUAAAGGCCUACCAAGCCGACGAUCUGUAGCUGGUCUGAGAGGAUGAUCAGCCACACUGGGACUGAGACACGGCCCAGACUCCUACGGGAGGCAGCAGUGGGGAAUUUUGGACAAUGGGCGCAAGCCUGAUCCAGCCAUUCCGCGUGCAGGAUGAAGGCCUUCGGGUUGUAAACUGCUUUUGUACAGAACGAAAAGGCUCUGGUUAAUACCCGGGGCUCAUGACGGUACUGUAAGAAUAAGCACCGGCUAACUACGUGCCAGCCGCCGCCGUAA